rnacentral:rRNA from 1 species
UACGGGGGGUGCGAGCGUUGUCCGGAAUCACUGGGCGUAAAGGGCGCGUAGGUGGUUUGAUAAGGGUGUGGUGAAAGUCCGGGGCUCAACCCCGGAUCUGCCGUGCCGACUGUCAAACUCGAGGGCUGUAGAGGCAGACGGAAUUCCGGGUGUAGCGGUGGAAUGCGUAGAGAUCCGGAGGAAGACCGGUGGCGAAGGCGGUCUGCUGGGCAGUUUCUGACACUGAUGCGCAACAGCGUGGGGAGCAAACAGG